CUUUGUAUCUCUCACUUUUCUGACCAUUUCCAGAGAGCAUAAGAUAAGAUGUCCAAGCUCCCUACCCUUUGCAUGGUAGCCUCCCUCCUCCUCCUCUUCACGCUAACAUGCACCGCUCGGCCAGAGCCUGCAUUUCACAGCGUUACUCCGAUGAAAACCCAACAUACGGAUGUUGGAGUUGAGGUGGAGGAGAGUUGUGAAGGAGUUGGAGAAGAAGAGUGCUUGAUGAGAAGAACACUGGCAGCCCAUGUUGAUUAUAUAUAUACCCAAAAGCAGAAGCCAUAAAAAUCAUCCAUUUUCCAUGCGGUAGCUAGUAGUAGUUAUAUUUGUUUGAUUCGUGUAUUCAAUCAUUCAUAAAAGCUUAAGUGUACAGAAAUUUUUUACAAAAGAAGACAUAGAUGUGAGAAGAACACAUCUGUUUCACGUUUAUGUCUUGUUCUGUAAAAAUUUUCUGUGUUUCUAGCAUACCUGUCAUAAUAUAUAUAGGCUUGUACCUUCUAUAUGUUCUGUUCUUUUGUGUCUUAGAUUAAUUUUCAGGUUGGUUAUCAUUGUUUAGUUACCUUUUAAGUAUGUAUAUAGGCUUGUGCCUUCAAUAUGUUCUGCUCUCUUGUGUCUUUAGAUUAAUUUUAAGGUUGUUAUCAUUGUUUAAUUA